CGCGUAGGCGGGAUGGCAAGUCGGUCGUGAAAUCCUUCGGCUCAACCGAAGAACGUCGGCCGAUACUGCCGUUCUUGAGGGAUGCAGAGGAGACUGGAAUUCCCGGUGUAGCGGUGAAAUGUGUAGAGAUCGGGAGGAACACCGGUGGCGAAGGCGGGUCUCUGGGCAUCUCCUGACGCUGAGGCGCGAAAGCGUGGGGAGCAAACGGGAUUAGAUACCCCGGUAGUCCACGCCAUAAACGAUGACGACUAGGUGUGGGGUGGUUCAGUCCACUCCGUGCCGCAGCUAACGCAUUAAGUCGUCCGCCUGGGAGUACGGCCGCAAGGUUGAA
rnacentral:rRNA from 1 species